ACACCCUUCUCAAUAGCCACAAAUAAUAUAAAAUAUCUCGGCGUGACUCUGUUGGAGCUUCUUAAGAAGACUUAAGUGAUUCAUUUUGAGAUCUGGGAGAAUUCUGAUCUGAUGAAAAGCUUCUAAGUGCUUUCUUUACUGAAAAACAGAGUCAUCCAUUCUUAACUGAGACAAGUGUGCGGUCAUCUGGGCAUAAUUCAAAGAUCGAGUGGAGACAUUUAUUUUAGUUGAUUUCUAAUGUAUUUGGUGGUGUAGCAUUUUUAAAAAAUUAUUCUCCAUUUACGUGAAGUCCUUGCCAUGAAAAUUUGAUGUAGCAAGAAGUGCUCUGGCUUUUUACUUAUCACAUAAUGGACACUAUAAUGUAUGCUCAAUCAAUAAAUGUUCAGCUGAGCCCCAACUAUAGAUAGCUCUGCCACCAAGAGUGCCUACCUCUGCCACAGUUUCUUCAUCUAGAAAGUUAGUUUAUUCUUCUUGUUCUUCCUCCUCCCCCUUCCCUUCCACUUUCCCGGUAUUGAGGAUUGAAGCCUGGCUUUCACACGUGCUACACAAAAUGAUCACCGAGCUAUAUACCCUAAAGCCCACAUUCGGGAUGUUUUUAGAGUCUUUGGUGGUUUGACAUUUCCAUUACUUUUAUUAGAUGUUAUAAGCUAUAUAGAUUAGUACUUGAGGUUUUUCUUAAAUCCACAUAGAUUAGAUUUACAUUAGCUCACAGCUCUUCUAUCUGCUGAUCUUUUGCUUAUUUUAAGUGCCAGUUGCAGUAAAAUGCCAGUUGCAGUGAGAUGAGGAAGAGCUUAUAUGAAAGCCAUGCUCCGCCUUCCUUUUCAGCUUCGUUUAUGAGUACUUCAGUUUUGCUCUCUAAUAAACCCAGAGGGUGGACUUUUUCAUUGAGCUUUCUAUCAACUGGGAAUUGAAUUUUAGUAACUAGAGCCAUGAAGUCUAUAACUUGUUUGCUAGUAGAUGAUUACAAUCCGGGUACAUUUAUUUAAGUUCAGUUUACAUUCAUUUAAGAUGGCAAAAAAUUUAUUCUUCACUUUAAGGUUUGGGAUUUUCUUUUUUGCGUGUAGCCUUUAUUUUCUAACCAUAGUUAUGAAACUCUUCCUUACUGACAGGGAACACCCAUGGCAUGUCUAUAUAUAGCUUUGAAGUCAUCUGGAGGCCAUAUCUUGUAUAUGCGUAUAAAUAUUACAAAGGGUAAAUUCCCGCAUUUGCAUCAGCAGCUUUUAUUUUAAUAACAGUGACUAGUUUCACUUGCUUUUAAGACUCAAAGUUAAGAAAUGCUGCCGUUUCUCAGGAUUCUAAAAUGGCGUUCAUUUUACUGGUUGUAAAAGUUGUUAGGACUGCUGGGAAUCAGGAGGAAAAAAAAACAACUUCAACAGGAUUUGGUUAUCAGCAGAUCUGUGGCAGUUUCCUGUUCUAGCCUCCCUACCUAUGAGCUACACGAAAAGCCUCUGUAGGCAGGUUCCUCCUUUCUUUUACCACAGGAAAACUGUCCAGCCUCUUUUCUAGCAUUUUCAGGACCCGCCUGACAGGAAAUUUUCUAAUUGCCGGAACAGCUGGUAGGAGAAAACUUUGCAGGGGCUUAAGUUUUACCGUCAGAAUUCUUUAUCAUCAGCAUGGUUUCGUAGCCAUGUUUAAAUUUUUGUCUUUCCGUGUUCGCCCUAUACAGGUAAGCUUUGUUCAACUUCUUUUUUAAAAAAUAAGAUGUUUUAUUCAGAAUGAACUAGAAUUAUGCUACUCAUUCUGUUUUCUAGAUUCUUUUAAGGAACUUUUAAAAGUUCAGAAUAAGUUUUGGAUGAACUUUUAAAGAAAUAAAUUCUAUUUACUAAAAGUAAGCUAGUUGGUUGUAUUAGACGUUUCAACUCUUCAUUUUCUUAAUUUAUUUUUAUAUUGAAUUAUUUGUGCUAGAGAAAUUUUACCCUGAUAGUGAUGAUUCAUAAUUUUAUAUAAUAAAACAAAUGACCUCUCAGAAUUAAACUAGUUAUGAACAGAAUUGCAAACUUAACUAAUAUUAGAUUAUUAUUCUGUAAGUAGUAUUUUGGCAUAUAAGAGAGUAUUGAUUAAAGUAGUCAGACACUUAGUCAGGUCAUUGUUGAAACUGGUUCCUGUAAAGACUUGAGAGCUUCAAGCAGCUCGACAGUUAAGUAACUUGGUGGUUGAGAUUCCCAAGUUUCGGGCGGGAAGUGGAGUCGGGGGCGCCCAGUGUUAAAAUGUUGGUCUGGAAGAAUUGACCCAUGAUAUUCUCUUAAAGUAUUUUGUUAAGUAACUCAUUUGUUAAGAACUCGUUUGUUUCAUUAGCAUAUACAGUAAAUUAAAUCUAAUCCAAUGUUUUCUAGAAUAAAUUAAAAUGUUGUUUCUUACCAUGGCUUGGGUAACCAGCUUCAUUGUCUCGAUCACAUUAAAAACAAAAGUUAAAGAAUCCCUUUCAAAUAAAUAUAGCGCUAUAGGAAUCUCUGUAGGAAGUGAAUGUUCCGUUACUUUAGUCUACAAUACCUUUAAGGGAUAAGCUGUGUAUAUUUCUUUUGUAAGGUCUUUUUUAUGUUGCACCAAGAAAUAGGUCCAUAGUUAAAUACUUUAUAUGUUCUUGUACCAAGAAGCAUUUAAAUACUUUUCUUUGAGCUUUAAAAAUGUUUUCUGGCAUUCAAAACUAUUUGGAAAAUACAAAUGCCUCAAGAAUACAUUUCCUGACUCAAGGGAGGGGAGG
rnacentral:lncRNA from 1 species